ensembl:snoRNA SNORD58 Small nucleolar RNA SNORD58
UCGCCGUGAUGACCUUCUUAGGACACCUUUGGAUUCAGGAUGAAACUAACCACUAAAUCUGAGCGAC